rnacentral:rRNA from 1 species
UGAGUAAUCAUGAGCAACCUGCCCUAGGCUUUGGGAUAACCCUCGGAAACGGGGGCUAAUACCUAAUAUUACUGCUGGACGCAUGUUUGGUGGUGGAUUUUUUUUCGGCCUGGGAUGGGCUCGCGGCCUAUCAUCUUGUGGGUGGGGUGAUGGCCUACCAAGGCGACGACGGGUAGCCGGCCUGAGAGGGCGACCGGCCACACUGGGACUGACACACGCCCCACACUCCUACGGGAGGCAGCAGGGGGAAAUUUUGCACAGUGGGCGGAAGCCUGAUGCAGCCACCCCGCGUGAGGGAUGACGGUUUUCGGUUUGUAAACCUCUUUCAGCGGGGACAAAGCGCAAGUGACGGCACCUGCAAAAAAAGCACCGGCCAACUACGUGCCAGCCCCCGCGGUAAGACAUGGGGUGCGAGCGUUGUCCGGAUUUAUUGGGCAUAAAGAGCUCGUAGGCGGCUUGUCGCGUCCACCGAAAAAACUUGGGGCUCCACCCCAAGCCUGCGGUCGAUACGGGCAGGCUAGAGUUCGGUAGGAGAGACUGGAAUUCCUGGUGUAGCGGAGAAAUGCACAUAUAUCAGGAGGCACACCGGUGGCAAAGGGGGCUCUCUGGGCCUAUACUGAGCUGAGGAGCGAAAGCGUGGGGAGCGAACAGGAUUAGAUACCCUGGUAGUCCACGCUGUAAACGUUGGGCGCUAGGUGUGGGGGGCCUCUCCGGUUCCCUGUGCCGCAGCUAACGCAUUAAGCGCCCCGCCUGGGGAGUACGGCCGCAAGGCUAAAACUCAAAGGAAUUGACGGGGGCCCGCACAAGCGGCGGAGCAUGCGGAUUAAUUCGAUGCAACGCGAAGAACCUUACCUGGGUUUGACAUGGCCGCAAAACCUCCAGAGAUGGGGGGUCCUUCGGGGGCGGUCACAGGUGGUGCAUGGCUGUCGUCAGCUCGUGUCGUGAGAUGUUGGGUUAAGUCCCGCAACGAGCGCAACCCUCGUUCGAUGUUGCCAGCGCGUUAUGGCGGGGACUCAUCGAAGACUGCCGGGGUCAACUCGGAGGAAGGUGGGGAUGACGUCAAGUCAUCAUGCCCCUUAUGUCCAGGGCUUCACGCAUGCUACAAUGGCCGGUACAAUGGGCUGCGAUACCGUGAGGUGGAGCGAAUCCCAAAAAGCCGGUCUCAGUUCGGAUCGGGGUCUGCAACUCGACCCCGUGAAGUCGGAGUCGCUAGUAAUCGCAGAUCAGCAACGCUGCGGUGAAUACGUUCCCGGGCCUUGUACACACCCCCCGUCA